rnacentral:lncRNA from 1 species
GUCCCAAUCUCAAUAGGAUUCUGCUCCAGAGUCCCAAUCCCAGUAGGACUCCUCACCAAAGUCACAAUCUAAUUGGACUCUUCAGCCAUUUGAUCUGAUCAAAUCUUCUAAUGCGUGUGAUUCCAUAGGUUCGAACCAAAGCUGGUAGUAUAGGAAUAACUUUCUAUACCAAUCGAUGUAACCAUCUAGCAAUGGUGACCC